AGGACGAACGCUGGCGGCGUGCCUAACACAUGCAAGUCGAACGGGGCCCGCAAGGGUUCAGUGGCGAACGGGUGCGUAACACGUGAAGAACUUGUCCAUCGGCGGGGGAUAGCCGGCCCAACGGCCGGGUAAUACCGCGUACGCUUGUCGGGUGGCAUCACCCGACAAGGAAAGCAGCAAUGCACCGAUGGAGAGCUUCGCGGCCUAUCAGCUAGUUGGCGGGGUAAUGGCCCACCAAGGCAACGACGGGUAGCUGGUCUGAGAGGAUGACCAGCCACAUUGGGACUGAGACACGGCCCAGACUCCUACGGGAGGCAGCAGUGGGGAAUAUUGCGCAAUGGGGGAAACCCUGACGCAGCGACGCCGCGUGUGGGAUGACGGCCUUCGGGUUGUAAACCACUGUCGGGAGGGACGGAAGAUCUGACGGUACCUCCGAAAGGAAGCACCGGCUAACUCUGUGCCAGCAGCCGC
rnacentral:rRNA from 1 species